GGCUUUCAAACGCUGAUGGAUGGUAAUGGAUGGUAAUAAGUACCCCAGCCUCCUUGCCCUUGGGUGGACCAAUCCAGAGGCUCUUAUCAGGACCAGCCUGAUUCAUUUCAGGUGUACGCAGUCCCUCCCUUCCGUCUCUCUCUUUCACUCCGCCAUCUUCCCGCUGGUGAUGUCUUGGGCAAAGCUGAGCAGCUUUUUUGGAAAGAUAAUCUGCCUGAGCGGAAGCCGGCGUCAUUUGAAACAAAUCCCUGAAGUCACUGACUGUGAGUUGCUGAAGAAAUCAGACGUGCCCCUACUGAGGUCCCCACAGUAGCAACCUCAUCUGACCAUUCCCUUGAGAUCCCAUGGAACUGAAAGGCUCUGCUGCUCUGUCGCAAGCACCUGGAAAACGCACUGCAAUUUCAUGUGCAUUCAUCUCAUCUUUUCCAAGAGACUGUGCGCUCCUUGAGUACAGCGACCGUUGUUCACAUGCUCUCAAUAAAACACGUGUUGCCUGAAAGAAGUUUUAUUUU
rnacentral:lncRNA from 1 species